AAAAAGUUAAAAAAUUCUACCCCCCCCCCCCCACACGUGUUAUGGUUCUGGGAAAGGGGAGGGGGGGAGUGAGGGGCUGCUUGCAAAGGGGAACAACAUGUACAAACAACUGGUAUAUUCUUAGCCAAUUAUGAUGUGGACACCCACUUAGACUAGAGAAUUCCCUCAUAGGCACCAAACUCUUUCCCUCUAUUUUCCUUUCACGUGGCUUUUUAGACACAUUUUUCAUCCAUAUCAUUCCAAAACCCUAAUUUUUCUUUAAUCCUCCUGAACAUCUCUCCCUAAAUCUCUUUCGUGGAGAUAUCAUCAGUAUCGUUCAAAAACCCUAAUUAUCAUAUAGGGGCGAUUCUUAUCAAAGCGAUUAAUGGAAACCCUAAAUUGUAACCAGUGGAAUUGAAUCCAGAAAAGUUUGAAGCUUGAGAGAGAGAGAGACAAUGGAAACAAGUGGUUGUUAGAGCCAUCCAUCCAGUGGUGAUGUUUGGGUUCCGAUUAGAGCAUUGGCCACAGCGGCGAUAGCUAGGUUUCUUCCACUUCAAGGGGUUUAAGGGGAUUCUCAAGAUUGGUGAAUAUUAGAGAUGGUAAAGGGGCAACACCUUUUCAUUUGUCUGCCCGUCAAGAAGUUAAUGGAGAUGCUUUUGAGUUAUAAGCAUUAUUAAUUUGGAAAUGUUUAAAGCCUAUGUUGGCAAAUAAACUAUGCACAUAAGGUGUUCACUUAAAUGUUUUGAUGUGUUAACAAUGAUUUCUGCUCAGGCACUGAUUAUAAACCCUAUGUUGGUGACCGGUAUUAAUGAAGCAAUCAUCUACUCAUA